rfam:Sparrow coronavirus HKT17, complete genome
CUACUCUAGCACAGAAUCACAUCUCGAUAAGCAACAGUGCUAGAAGGUUGCUUAUACCA